rnacentral:rRNA from 1 species
UACUCUGCCCCACCUUCGGCGGCUGGCAUCCAUAAAGGUUACACUCACCGAACUUCGGGUGUUGCAAACUCUUGUGGUGUGACGGGGACGUGUGUACAACGCCCGGUAAACACUAUUCACCG